rfam:Schistosoma mansoni strain Puerto Rico chromosome 2, complete genome
AUCCAGUUGACGAGUUCUAAAUAGGAUGAAACACCUGUCCUGAAU